GCGCCCGUGGCUCAGCUGGAUAGAGCAACGGCCUUCUAAGCCGUGGGUCGCAGGUUCGAGUCCUGCCGGGCGCG
rnacentral:tRNA from 1 species